rnacentral:rRNA from 1 species
CACACAGCUCAGUAACACGUGGCUAACCUGCCCUUGGGAUAGGAACACCCCCGGGAAACUGGGGCUAAUUCCCAAUAGGCGAAGAACUCUGGAAUGAGUCUUCACCAGAAAAGACUCCUGCAUUAUGCUUGUAGGUUUCGCCCAAGGAUGGGGCCGCGACCGAUCAGGUUGUUGGUGAGGUAAUGGCUCAGGGAGCCUUUUACCGGUGCGGGCCGUGAGAGCGGGAGCCCGGAGAUGGGCACUGAUACAAGGGCCCGGGCCCUACGGGGCGCAGCAGUCGCGAAAACUUUGCAAUACACGCAAGUGUGACAGGGCUAUCCCGAGUGCCAUCCGCUGAGGAAGGCUUUUACCCAGUCUAGAACGCUGGGGGAAUAAGGAGAGGGCAAGUCUGGUGUCAGCCGCCGCGGUAAUACCAGCUCUUCGAGUGGUGUGGAUGUUUAUUGGGCCUAAAGGAUCCGGAACCGGCCCAAGUUAGAUCCUUUGUUGAUUCCACGAAAUUAUUCGUUUGGGUUGGUGGGGCAAUACUGCUUGGCCAGG